UCCGGUGUGGUGUAACGGUUAUCAUUCCGCGUUUUCACUUUGGAAACGUGCCGCGGCGACCAGGGUUCGACUCCCUGCUCCGGAG